rnacentral:rRNA from 1 species
UACGUAGGGCGCGAGCGUUGUCCGGAAUUAUUGGGCGUAAAGAGCGUGUAGGCGGCCUUACAGGUCAGCUGUGAAAACUCGAGGCUCAACCUCGAGACGUCGGUUGAAACCGUAUGGCUAGAGUCCGGAAGAGGAGAGUGGAAUUCCCGGUGUAGCGGUGAAAUGCGCAGAUAUCGGGAAGAACACCCGUGGCGAAGGCGGCUCUCUGGGACGGUACUGACGCUGAGACGCGAAAGCGUGGGGAGCGAACAGG